rnacentral:rRNA from 1 species
GACGAACGCUGGCGGCGUGCUUAACACAUGCAAGUCGAACGGAAAGGCCCUGCUUUUGUGGGGUGCUCGAGUGGCGAACGGGUGAGUAACACGUGAGUAACCUGCCCUUGACUUUGGGAUAACUUCAGGAAACUGGGGCUAAUACCGGAUAGGAGCUCCUGCUGCAUGGUGGGGGUUGGAAAGUUUCGGCGGUUGGGGAUGGACUCGCGGCUUAUCAGCUUGUUGGUGGGGUAGUGGCUUACCAAGGCUUUGACGGGUAGCCGGCCUGAGAGGGUGACCGGCCACAAUGGGACUGAGAGACGGCCCAGACUCGUACGGGAGGCAGCAGUGGGGAAUAUUGCACAAUGGGCGGAAGCCUGAUGCAGCAACGCCGCGGGCGGGAUGACGGCCUUCGGGUUGUAAACCGCUUUCGCCUGUGACGAAGUGUGAGUGACGGUAAUGAGUAAAGAAGCACCGGCUAACUACGUG